GCCAGGUGUGGUUCCCGUGUCUGCUCUCCGCAGCCCUCCUGGGAGGGUUUGAAGAGACAGCUGAGAGCGGCCAGCUGGGAAGAGCACGCUUGCCUUGUCAGCGGAGAGUAGGUUCUGAGCUCUGCUGAGUCAGCGUGGCCAGGCAGGGCUGGGGGGCCUCAGGGCUCCAGGCCCCACCUCUUACCUCUACAGUCUCCCACCCCGGCUGCCUGCCCCAGCCGGUCAAAAUGGUAACCCCCGGUGGAGAUAGGCACCUGUGAGAAGUAUCACUGCUUCGUGGGUCAGGGGCUUGGACCCACCAGGGCUGUGUCACCUGCGGACCAUGUGAACUCAACUCCCACCCCCCGGCCCCUGCCCAGCCUCCCCUACCAGGCUCGAUGUAAAGUGAUGGUGAAGUGAAAACAGAUUUGGGGCCCUUGCCACCUCUUUCUGGUUGGUAACUUUGUUUCUUGGACAACAAUGCAGAGUUUGAAGCCCAUCCAGGGACAACAUUCCAUCUGCCCCCUGCAAGUUCCGGUGCGGUCUUCGCUAAGAGGCCAAGCAAGAUGAUGUAAUCACCUGAUGAGUUCCUCCUGCCCACUGCACAGACAAAACCAAUUCACUGAGACGACGGCAUUGCAAUAAAGAAAGAGCUUAAUUGACACAAGGUUGGCCACUCCUGUCUCAAAUCAAAUCAAUCUGAAAAUUUGGAGGCUAGGGUUUUUAAAGGAUACUUUGGUGGGCAGGGGGCUGGGGAAUGGGGGCUGCUGAUUGGUUGGGGAUGCAAUCACAGGGUUGUGGAAAUUGGUCCUUGUGCACCAAGUCCACUUCUGGGCGGGCUCCCCAGGACCGGCUGAGCCAAGAGUUGAAGGUCUGGGUGGGGCCAUCCGGUCAUCAGAAAUGCAGGUAAAGACAUCUCAAAAGGCCAAUCUUAGGUUCCACAAUAGUGAAUUGGGACAGUUGCAAAUCUUGUAUCCUCUGGAAUAAUGGCUGGUUGUCAUUUAACUAUGCCUGCGUCUUAGCGAAAUUUAGGCCCCUCUCAUCCUCCUAACCUGGUGGCCUUUCUUUUCUUUUCAUUUUUUUUUAAGAAACAGGUUCUUACUCUGUCCCCCAGGCAGGAAUGCAGUGGUGUGAUCGUGGCUCACUGCAGCUUAAAACUCCUGGGCUCAAGUGAUCCUCCCACUU
rnacentral:lncRNA from 10 species